AGUAAGUCUCAAAGCAGACGACGUGGUAAACUUUCAAAAUGAGACUAAACUUUUACUUGCUGUGGAAUAUGGCAUUUAUAUUAUUUCUUUUCAUUGCUUUCCUUUAUUUCAUAUUUUCUUCCUUGCAAAGGUAGACAUUUUUUUGGCGGACUUACAUGUUUUAGGACAUUAAAUUAAACUGACGUCGCCAAAGUUCUCUGCGCACCUUCUUGUCAAAACAGUGUGACGGUCUAUAUUUAGACUGUGCGGCGUCAUAAAACCAUAGUGAUAAAAAUGUCGGCCAACUGAUGAAGUGGAAUAGAGAAUAGACGCGGCUGCCAAUGGAUAUAUUCCCAAGACACAAUUGACUACCCCUUUAUGAACAUCAGCAGAAGCUGUAUCAGACUGGCAUGAUGCUGAUGUAGAAACUGGGAAUACGAUGGCAGAGACACAGCCACCUCAGACAGACAAUGAGAAGCUGUCCAAAUUACUCCGCUUCUUGGAGCAGGACAGUAUCGUGUUUGGAGACAACAGAAAGAAAUUAGAUUCAACUGAGAAGCCUCAACUAAGUCAGAGAGUGAAGACGUUCUAUGUAGACACAUGGCCGAGGGAGUCGCCAAAGACAGGUAGGGGGGCUGGCUUGGGUUAUAGUGGGUGGGGGAGGAAGUGAAGACAUUCUACGUAGACACAUGGCCGAGGGAGUUGCCAAAGACAGGUAGGGGGCUGGCUUGGGUUAUAGUGGGUGGGGAGGAAGUGAAGACGUUCUACGUAGACACAUGGCCGAGGGAGUUGCCAAAGACAGGUAGGGGGCUGGCUUGGGUUAUAGUGGGUGGGGGA